CCCGCUGAACUUAAGCAUAUCAAUAAGGCGAGGAACAGAAACCAACAGGGAUUCCCUCAGUAGUGGCGAAUGAACCGGGAAGAGCUCAAGUUUGAAAUCCGGCGGUCGCCCGUCGGAGUUGUAAGCUGAAGAGGCGUCGACCGACUCGGUCCGGGUCCAAUUUCCUUGGAACAGGAGGUCAUGGAGGGUGAGAACCCCGUCCGUGGCUCGGAUACCGAGUCCUUGCGUCGUGCCCUCGUAGAGUCGGGUUGUUUGGGAAUGCAGCUCAAAAUGGGUGGUAAAUUUCAUCUAAAGCUAAAUACUGGCAAGAGACCGAUAGCGAACAAGUAGAGUGAUCGAAAGAUGAAAAGUACUUUGAAAAGAGAGUGAAACAGUACGUGAAAUUGUUGAAAGGGAAGCGUUUGGCAUCAGCCCAUGGCUUCGGACGAUCAUCCGGGCUUCUGUCCGGUGCACUCGUCCGAGGCCGGGCCAGCGUCGGCUCGGUCCGUCGGAUAAAGGCCUCGGGGACGUGGCACCCUUCGGGGUGCGUUAUAACCCGAGGCGUCAUACGGCGUGGCCGGGCCGAGGUCUGCGGUCUAACCAAGGACGCUGGCGUAAUGGUUCCAAGCGACCCGUCUUGAAACACGG
rnacentral:rRNA from 1 species